AGCGGGAGGGGCGGGAGGCCCAGGCGGUUCCUGGUUCCCGGGCAGCCUCUGUAGCCCCUGGGGCUCAGUCGGGGCCUAGCCGCCUCGCCCCCUCUCCGCAGCCUGGAGCAAACUUGGGAUUUUCAGCCAGCGUGGAGGACACGGCUGAUUCACCCAGGGGCUUUUGUGGGGACAUUCCUGCCGUCGGAGGCCCCUUUUCCGAAUGGCCCGUAGGCGGGGGUUCUUCCAGUGGGGCCUCCGGGGCUCUGACCAGAGAAUAUGAUUCGGGCCUCAGGGAAUAUGCGUUUCAGCCCUAAUGUCUUGUGUGCCGGGUGAGUGGUGGCAUCAUGGCACGUGCAAGUGAACGUUCAUCCACACAGACACUCAGGGAUCUGAACCCGGCCACUCACCGUGGUGGCGGCUCUGGUUCCGACUUCUUUCCGAGCCCUUCCCCGGACCGGUCGUUGCUCCUCUCCAGCCAAAGGGCUCCAGCCGGGAAAGCCCCUUUCGGCCCCCCGAGGGGGGGAAUUCCCGUGACGAUCCCGUGCGUCACUCCCCAUGCCCUUUUUUAUUGGUUGAAAGUUUAACUCCAGGACUCUUGUAGCCAACCCGGAGCAACGCAGGCGCGCCCCUUUCGGGGAAGGCUCGCCCAGGACUGGCCGCGGGGUGUCACCCAGCUCCAGUUCUGCUAGGGACCAGCGAGGCGGGACGACGGACCCAGCGCAGGGCGCGGCUCAGAUCUCUGCACUCUUCCAGGCUUGCCCGGGACCGUUACGGAGUCCAGUGGGCCACUUGGCUCUUGCUGUGCCCAGAGGUUGGCUAUCUCUGAGACACAGGAAACCGGGUCAGUCCCAACACUCCAGUAACCCUCCCAGAGAGGGACCUCCUAGCUGGGAAGGGGAAGAGGAAGGAGUCAGAUCUUGCGGUCAGCUCCAGAUCGCCAUCUAGCGGCCUUUCUGGAGCCGCAAGGAAACUCUGGGGUCAACUGUCUUAGUUUCCGGGCUUCAGGAAGAGACAACUGAUGUUUAUUCUGUAAGUGGCGGGUUCACAAGGGCCAAGGCUUUUAGGAUGACUCGUUGGAGAAUCAAUGUGCUGGGGGAAGAAAAGAAGAAGGAAGAGAAGAAAGAUGUUUGCCUGGGAGUCUUAGGCCUCGUUCAUCCACCACAGAUGUCCCAACUAUUUGACUUGAAAGGCAUCCAACUGGGCGUGGCGAAAUUCACCUGCAGUCCCAGCUUUCUUGAAACCAAGACAGAUCCUAAGUUUCACACCACCCUGUCUCAACACACAUGCACGCAAAUCUGUCCAAAGUGCCUUUCAAACUUCCUCUUCUGUGGAAAAUUGCCAGCGGUGUGCUUUGCAUGGGUGAGGGCCAGCUGUUACCAUCAUAAAGUGGGUGGGAGGCUCUGGAGACCUCUCAGCGCCGAAGCACUCCUGCUCUUCCUGCAUCCAGGAAGAUUCUUCCAGGAUCCACGUGGGACGGCUCACAAGUGUCCGAAACGAUCACACCAGGGUCCCCUGGCUCUCUCCUCGCCUUCUGGGAGACCGAAUUCAGGUGCACACCCUUCAAUUCUUGACUACUCAUCCCCCAAACCCCAAACCCACGUGGUGACAAAUAAGAAAUAAAAUCAUUUUAGAAAGUC
rnacentral:lncRNA from 1 species